AGCCAACCAGAAAUAGGUAUCAAAUUGAUCACAACCAGUAACAGAUUUCUUUGUUCUUUCUCCACUCCCACUGCUUCACUUGACUAGCCUUAA
rnacentral:sRNA from 1 species